CUGCAUCCUAGGCCAUAGUCAACGAGAGAAGGGUCUCAGCACACUGUGUCCGGUUCCCACACUCCCCCCAUCUGUCCUUGCAGUGCCAACACAAUACUGACUGCACAGACAGGGUACUGCAACAGUGCCUCAGCCUCAUGUCUCAGCUUCUCUUAGUUUGGAAGAUGAGACAGUAGUUCAAGUCACUAGUGCAUAGUGUGAGACAGAGCGAAGGGAGAAGGUACACAGCCUCUCUGAAAUAGGAGGCAACUUUUACU